AUAAUUUGGCAGCACAUAGACUAAACUUGCAACAAUACACAGAAGACUAGCAUGGUCCCUGUGCAAGGAUGACACAAAACUUAGUAAAGUGUUCCAAAUAUUC